UGUUGUAAAACAUAAUUAGUAUUUGUAGUUGUGUAACAAGGAUGAUUGACAAUUGUAUCCAAAACAUGUUUAAACAUUCCCAAGCGCUAGCACAUCAUAACAAACAGACUUGAGAUUAUUACUUGCUUCUAUUUGAAAAUUUGGUAUUAAGAAUUGAGUGCCAUAAAGAUUUAUGAAAUAUGAAGAUUACAAAGAUCUGGGUUUGAAGACGUUUUCUUUUUAUGAUCAUGUGUAGUUUAAGAAGAUUAGAAUUUAGGUUUUGAGGUGAAAUUACUGAAAUACCCAUAUGGGUAAAUUUAAUGAUGUGGGAUGCUAGAGGGACCAAGGUUAUUACAUUUGGAAAUGUUUGGGGUAGGACAACAAGAUUUUUGUUUUACAGGGUAAGAGUGUUAGCGCGGUAAAACCCCAUGGGGUAAAAUUGCACUUUACUCUUUUGCAAAUUACCUUUUAUGUGUUGAGUACCGUACAAAAAAAGUUAUCCUACAAAACGAACGAAUGACGUGGUAAAGUGAAAAAAAGACUGUGACAUUUUUAUAAUUAUUCUAUUAGUAUUUAUCAAAAUUACUUUACAAAUUCAUCAAACAAUAUACAAUUCAAAAUUACUUUACAAGUGCGUUAUAAUUACUUAACCAGUUCAUCAUUAAUACU
rnacentral:lncRNA from 1 species